UCUGAAACGUGACGUAGGCGAUGUCAUGACAUAUUUUGUAUAAAACAAGAGACAAUAGAAAGGGUCUGAAGGUGAUGGAUCAAGAUUUCGUUUAUCGUGGAAGAGAACGGGUAAAAUCUAAGACAUAAAAAUGAAGAGUUUGAUUGUUAUAACAGUUUUCCUGAUUUCCUACCUAACUUUGUCUACAGCAACUCUUCUAAAUACACCACCGCUUCCAUGUGAUUCUGGAAAAUCAUGUGCCGCUCAAGCCAAAACCAGUGACGUUAAUGGCAUAAAAUAUUGCUGUUUAAAGGGAGGUAAUAUGAAAAUUGGCAGUAUCAAUAUGGGAACCGCAGUCAUGACUGAAUGUACGUGUGUACAACCAGUGUCCUUCCUCCUUACUGGACUUUUAGAAAAGUUUGGACAGUUUCUGACCCAGUUUAGAUUUAAAUAAACAAUUUGAAAAUCAGGUGUAUGUACACAUGUACCUUUAGGUCUCUGGUCAUCAUUGAGGGAUAAACGGGAUAUGGCCAAAACUAACCAGUGCCAACUAUAAACUUCACUAAAAUCUUUUGAUGGGAUUCGUUUUAAUCGGACUAAAUUAAAGCCGGGGGAUUAUCUACCGGUUUUAUUCUUUAAAAAUUUCUUUAUUAAAUAUUCAGUAAUCAAUUUGAGUACAUUUCAAAGUGGAUUAAGUCGUAAAAAUGUACAUUUUGCUCGCAAAAUGACGACCAGAGGCUUUAAGGUGAUAAUGUUAUGAAUGCUGAAAAAGCCACUCUGGUAUAGUCAUGCAACCCUAGCUAGUUCUUCAUAAUAUAAUGAAGUACAUAUGCGAUCAUAAACCUCUGUUCAUCAGCUACUUUAUUGUAUUAUUGUCUAUUUGUAUGUGUCUUUGUACAAUCGAUAU